AUUUUUCUAUCAUUAAAAGAACUCCACAGGCCUCUUCAGGUCUAUAUUUUUCUAUCAUUAAAAGAACUCCACAGGCCUUUUCAGGUUUUGCUGAAGCAGAGCUGCCAUUCAGGGUGUUCAUUCGACGAGAGUUCAACAUGAUGGCUUUGGACUUUCCCUACCUGUCGAA